GGGAGCUAAUAAUGGAGCCUUAUAGAAGAGUUGCUCCCAAAAGAAAUUUAGCAAUUAGUAAGAACAGUUUCACAAUGGAGAGAACAGAACUCAACUUCCUUUGGAAGAACAUAGGGAAUAUUAGGAGGUAAGGAGUUAUGCAAGGAAGAAGAGAAAAAGUUUUACAUUACCCGUGAUUGUCUGAGGAGUUUUUCUGACCCUACACACCAUGCAGAGGAAAGGACUUGGGCAUUAGCUGAGUGGCCACUAGCAGGCCCACUGCACUGUUUAGAAUGAUAGCACAGGCAAAGAUCUUAACAGCAGAUUUGAAGAAUUCACACCCCAGGUCCACACGGUUUAAUACUGUUAACAGACAUGAAUUGUGUUUUACACAAGGGUUUUGUCUCUAUAAUUUCUUCUCUUCAAGUGUGUGUGUUGUUGCUUUUUGUUUUUUUUUUUUAAUGUGAAUUACACUCACCUGCAAAAAAAAAAAAAAUAGAUUGAAUGAACUGAGUUGGUCUAAAGAACACAACUGCUAUUGAGGAGGAGACACAAUAAACUCUAUAAGCUUGUUCUGCUUCUUCAUUAAAAAACAAAUGGCACCAGAAAUUACAGCCUCAGUGACAAAGCCCUUGAACAUGGCUAAUUAACAGAUCAUUCUUGGGGGCCUAGGAAUGAGAGUGCUAGUCAUGGAGCCCUUCACAUGUAUUCAGGCUGCUUCAACUCCUGCUAGCUUACGGGUUUAUCUGCCCCUUUUAUCUGCAUGCGUUUCUAGUAGUUUUGGAAUUUCUGUCAUGUUCCCAGGUGGUGCUAGUGUUGAAGAACCCACCUGUCAUUGUAGGAGACAUAAGAGACAUGGGUUCAGUCCCUGGGUUGGGAAGAUCCCCUGGAAGAAGGCAUGGCAACCCACUCCAGUAUUCUAGCCAGGAGAAUCCCAUGGACAGAGGAGCCUGGUAGGCUACAGUCCAUAGGGUGGCAGAGUCAGAGAUGACCGAAGUGACUUAGUACUCAGUCACGUGCUUAUUACCAGACCCACCUUUCUCUGGGACCAACUCUAACACCAGGAAGUAUGGGUUCCUAAGGGCCCUUAUCUACUGAAAAUGUCAUUGGCAACAUGCAUACAUGCAUUCUCAGUCACUUUAGUCAUGUCUGAAUCUUUGCACCCCUGUAGAUUGUAGUCUGCCAGGCUUCUCUGUCCAUGAAAUUCUCCAGGCAAGAAUACUGGAGUGGGCUGCCAUUUCCUCCUUCAGGGAAUCUUCCCAACUCAGGGAUCAAACCUGAGUCUCUUAUGAAUCCUGCAUUGGCAGGCGGGUUCUUUACCACUAGCGGUAAAGACAAUGGGGAAGCCCCCAUUGUCAACAUAGCCAUAGCUAUUUGAUCCAAGGAUGGAUUCCACAAACUGGGAUGUACUAUAAAACCUUACAUUUCCUGCCUCCCGUUUUUAAUGCAAGUGCCUGACUUAAGCUUUGAUUCCUGAGGCAUCCACUUCAAAGACACUUUCUAGAAUAAACACAUUGGCAUCCAUAGGACUAGAUAAAGAGCCGGGCCACCUCCUCCUACUAAGAUCCCUUUGUUUUAAAGAUCUUUGUUGAUUUCAAUAAGCGACUAAUUGGACCAUUUGUUUUUUUCUCUUCUCAAACUUUAAAUUCCAACUCCUAUAUUUUAAAUAUUCUUCAAUAAAGUGUAUAUCCCUGAAACCCUAGGCCCCCAUCCUUGACCCCAAUAAGAGGAGUUCUCCAGGUCCAUUCUCUCUCUUUCUCUUCCUCUAUCCCUCAAAGGACUUCACCAUGAGGCCCCAGGGGUUCCAUGUACUCUCCAGGAACCAUGGUUAAUAAACCUUUUCCCCCUCAAACUUUCCUGAUGGUUAUUGCUGAAGCGCCUCUUACAGUAGUAAGAAGAACCACAGGGCUGGUCCAGCCACAUUGGUUAUUGGUUUUUGAUAGGCUGGGUUCCAUACAAAACACCUGGUCAAUCAGGAGGAAGACUAGAAGGCCUGAGAGUUUGUUGAGCUGAGUUCUUUAAAUGGCACAAAACGUGUAUAAUCUCCUGCUCCUGGGUUUCUGGAUCUGCCUUCUUCCUUUUUUUGCAUCCUCAUUUUCCUUUUGAUUUUGUGAGAGAUGUCCAUCAUCUUCCAACAAAUUCCCCACUUUUGCUUAUGCUAGUCAGAAUUGGAUCCAGUUGCUCCCAACCAAAAGAAUUUAAAGAAUGCUCUUUAAAUUGAGAUGACUUGAUGUUACAGAAAGGCACAUUUCUUGGAGACUGCAUGGGAGCAUUUGCAGUCUCUGGUUUUCCUAGGAAGCUUCUGGCAGUGCUUGUGUGCUGCCGCAUCAGAGCACCUAACCAUACCCUAUACUUUGUCUAUUUCACUGUCAGCUUCCCCAGAAGACUGUGAGUUUCAUGGAGGUAGUGAUUUGCACAUCAACGAAUCCCAUGCAAUCAGCUCAGAGCCUGACAUUUCAUAGUUGUGCCGAUAUUGAGUGAAAGAGUUAGUGAUCUAGGUACCUCAUCAUCCUUACCAUGGUCCAUUUAGCAAAAGUGGGUAAUUCAUUUUGUAUUACCACCAGAUAACUGGUAAUAUUAUUCUCUUUUGAUAUAUUGUAGGGCUUCCCAUGUAUACUGACAUACAGUUUUCUUCUACUAAAUCUUAAACCUAGGGCAAUUCCAUCAUUUUGUCAGGGGAGUUUGCAAUUUCCUUGGUUCUGUCUCAUCACAACAAAAAUUUGAAGCGACAGAUGGGCCGAUGUUACAGCCCUAUGUAAUUUCCUCAGAUGGACCAGUGUUAUAGCUCCAUGUUACAGCUCAGUUUUAUUUAGAAAGCAAAGGAAAAUACACCCUCAAGGCGUGAGGGUGGGCUGACCCAAAAGACGCAAAGAGAAGAGAAACCCCUGUUUCAAUUUUGGCUCCUCUUUUUAUGUGUGUGUUUUUUUUUUUUCUCUCCUCCCCCUGAGCCUGCCUUAUGUAAACUGUGCUAGCCAGGAGGGCUGUUUGUUUUACCUGAGGUCCUCACUCCAGUCCUCAGAUCUUUCUUUGUUCUGUUUUCAUGGGCUUUUCCCUUCUUUGUCUUUUAGCCACCACCAUUUUGGACUCCUUUUUCCUAUUCUAACUACCUAACAGCUUUAUAGGGCUAAAUUCAUCCUGAACUCAUGAGCAUAAGAUCAUGACUUUACUUGGAAACUGAGUUUCAAACAUGGAAAAUAAAGAAAAUGAAGUGCUGACUGACAAAAAAAUAACAAAAAUGUAACUUGCAAGGAACUACGAACAGCUGACCCAACAGAUUAUUCAUUCAUGUGAGAAAGAGGAGCGAUCCGUUUCCAGCUGAGCCUUUCAUUCAAUGGAAAGCCAGUAGUCAUCUGCUGGUGGACAUCUAGUGAAACAGGCUGGGAGCAGUAAAAAGUACAUCGUGGAAAGACAUCUUGAAAACAAGAUGUUGAAGUAAUGAUGUGACUGAUGGAAAACCAUUAGCGACUGUUACCAUAACCAGAGCCUUGAAGGAGUUGCUGAGAAAGGCUAAACAACGUCAUGAAUGGCUUGAAGGUUUGACAUUGAGGACUGUACAUUGUAUAUCUUUAUCCCCGAUCUGAGACUGUAAAGAACAGAUACUCUAGAGCAUGAAUAAGGAAGUAGAAGUUAACAAUAAAAGUCAUGCAAGGAUUAAGAUCUGGGCUUUUGCCUGUGAAUGGCAUCAGCCCCCUGCUGCUGCUGCUGCUGCUGCUGCUGCUGCGUCGCUUCAGUCGUGUCCUACUCUGUGCGGCCCUGAUCCCCACUUUAUUUCUGAGUCUUCUUUUUCUUUAUUCUUCUGCGGCACCGCUCCCUCGGGUCGGUUCACUGUUGGGCUGGUCCUGACAUGUAUAAACAUCUGAACUAAAAAUUGGAGUUCUGAAUGUGGGUGCUGGUAAUUGCUUUACAAUUGGUUUUCUGGGGGAAAAGAACCCGUAAAAAACAAACAAACAAAUACUCUGGUUGUCGCAUUUGCUGAUUUCCAUGGUCUACAUUGUUUCUAACAUGCCCAAUUUCCAGAUACCAGUAUGAUAUCAAGUAGCUCACACAAUUCCUGAAAAUUUAUCAGUUGAUAAAUUUAUCAGCUCUCAGGAGCUGGUACAGGUGAACUCCUACACACCACUGAUUCUCUUCCUUGGAGGGUGUAUAUCACAUACCUCUGUCCAUUUACUGACACAGGCAUACUUAUAUGCAUUUACUAAACUAACACCUAUGAAGUAAGUGUCUUGGACUUCUCUGGUAGCCCAGCUGGUAAAGUAAAGAAUCCGCCUGCAAUGCAAGAUGCCCCAGUUCAAUUCCUGGGUCGGGAAGAUCCCCUGGAGAAGGGAUAGGCUCCAACUCCAAUAUUCUUGGGCUUCCCUGGUGGCUCAGAUGGUAAAGAAUCUGCCUGUAACGUGGGAGACCUGAGUUCAGCCCCCAGGGUUGGGAAGAUCCCCUGGAGGAGGGCACGGCAACCCAUUCCAGUGUUGUUGCCUGGAGAAUCUCCAUUGACAGAGAAACCUGGUAGCCUAUAGUCCAGGGGCUCACACAGAGUCGGAUACAACUGAAUGACUAAACACAGCAUGUGAAGUGUCUUGUGACAGAAAUGGGAGGUAAAAAGGCUAACUCUACCCUUUCAGGGUUACUAGUCUAACAGAAACAAUUUGAAAAAAAAAAAAAAAAAACUAGUACAGGUACUAUUAGAGGUACAGUCUAAAUGGGCCACAAACAGGAAAGUACUUAAGUCUGUAUGAGGAGGCAAAGGAAUAUAAUAUUAACUAUUUAGCCAUUUACUGAGUAUGCUUUCAGCAAUGAAUAUGUACCAGGAACUGCAAGCAUUUGAUCACACAGAGGGAAAUUAGUUGCUUCUAGAGAGACCUUCAUCUAUAGGCGACACAGAGUCGGAAACGAGUGAAACAACUUAGCAGCAGCAGCAGCAGAGAGACCUGCACACGACAGCAGGAAAGAUUAGGAAGCAAAUGAUCAGAUUCUGGUAUAAUUACAAUAAAUACAAUUACAGAAGUGGAUACUAGAAAGAAGGAUGGCGUAUAAAAAGCAUAAAAUCUACACUACUUAGUGUAGGCCACAAGACCCCAGUCACAAGGCCCAUUUAUGUUCAUCUAUACUCAUUUCUGACAUACCAUGUAACCUAUGCUCUAAUCUAAGUGUCUUGAAGAUGCUCAGAUGCCUCUAAAAUGCUCAUUUCUUGCCAUUGAAACUCAUGCUUUCCUCUUCUGGAUUCAAGUGGUCCUGAGCAUUUCCAUAUAACUUUUUUGAAGGGAAAUAUACUAGAGCACGGAGGUUUUUCUGGUGUCUCAGGCAGUAAAGAAUCCUCCUGCAAUGCAGGAGACCCAGAUUCGAACCCUAGGGCAGGAAGAUCCCCUGGAGAAAGAAAUGGCAGCCCAGUCCGGUAUUUUUGCCUGGAGAAUUCCAUGGAUAGGGAUGCCUGGUGGGUUGCAGUCCAUGGGGUCGCAAAGAGUCAGACAUAACUAAAUGACUAACACACACACACUUACUAGAACACUCUUUAUCUUUUUGUUAGACACCACAGGGAGCAAGGAACCUUCUUUUUACCACCUACCAUCCCCACCUAUAUUUCUAUGUGUAUCCACCUUUGGAAAAUUAGACCCUAAGGGUAUGCCUUACCAUCUUCUAUUUAGUCUUUCUUGAAAAAAUAUUCUCAAAGAUUUCCAAAAGCCGAGGAAAAAUUAUGCUUUUUGUUGUUGUCAUUAUUAUUCCAUUUGUAAUCUUUUUUCUUUCACCAUUCCAAAACGUAUAUAUUUUAGAAUAAACUAAAAUUAUUUCUAGAUAACAAGAAUUUGUCCAGGGCCUAUGAUAUCCAGAUUUGUACAGGGUAUCAUGAAAUUUAAUAAAGCAAUUAAUAAAGUUCAAUAAAGAUGAAAAGUAUACAAAAAUAAGCAACCCAAAUAUAAUUCUAGAGGUGAAGAUAUGCGAUAUAAGCAAGAUAAAGAAGUAUGUCUCCGGGCAUGAAGUAAAAUGUUGAUGGGUGAGUUGGCAUUAGUCAGAGAGUGUAGCAUUUUAAUUGAUAGUGGAAAGGCAGGAGUUCAAAGAACAAGGACAUCUCCCUCUCUCUCACUGGGAGAACAGGAUGAGCAGAGAACAUGCAGGGGAGAGAGAAGGAGGGUGAUCUCUCUGAGAAGUCUGUCAGGGAACAAGGGAUCACACACAGGCUACAGCAAGGUAAGGGGAGUGGACAGGGCCACAGCAUAGUGGUUAAGAAGUUCAGCUCCAUAGCCAUGUAGCUUGACAUAGAGUCUCCGAGGUGUAUGAACAGAGGACUUGAACUUUAGGCUGGCACUUCUGAAAGAUCAUAAGGGAUAAUAUUUCACUUAAUUACAUUUCAAAGUGGGUGGUGGUUAUAUUUUCUGUUCGUCUCUCCGUCUUUUAAAAUAUAAGUUGCUACAGUCACCUAAACAAAAACAGUUGGUGAUCAAUUUAAAGACAUACGGCACAGACAUUUUACCUUCCAAGUGUGACUUUUUUCCAAUUGUGAUAUUUUCUUUCCUGAAAUUCAAAGUUUAAAACUCUCAGUGGAAGCAUUUCUAAAAUAUAAAUGAUGACGGCAGUGGAGAAAAAUAAACAUAGUGAUUACUGAGCUUAAUUAUAAGAGCAAAUGAGUUCUGGUGGGGUACAGAUUGUGUGACGACAUGUAAUCUAGCCGUGAGGUCAAGAGGCCAUGACGUCAAAGCCACCCUUACUUGUCUGAAGAGUCACUGGCUGCCUAGGCAAUGUUCCUAUAGGGACAACAGAAAAGGUGCCUGUCACUCAAAACAACUCCCCUGUCUACGGACUGACUUCCGACAUCUUUAAAAUUUCUCUAAAGAGAGGACUUUUAAGUGAAUAUCCUCUGUGAGAUAUGGGCUUCCCAGGUGGCACGAGUGGUAAAGAACCCACCUGCCAAUGCAGGAGAUAUUAAGAGAGGUGGGUUUGAUCCCUGGGUUGGGAAGAUCCCCUGAAGGAAGGCAUGGCAACCCACUCCACUGUUCUUGCCUGGAGAAUCCCAUGGACAGAGGAGCCUGGGGGGCUACAGUCCAUGCGAUCGCAAAGAGUCAGAUACAGCUGAAGCAACUUAGCACACACACGGGCACUCUGCACAAUAUAAGGAGUUGGUUUACAUUUACUUGAAGAUACAAAUGAAUGAGGUUGUUUCGGUCAUGCCAGUCUCAUGAGUGCUCAUUUUUUAUCUAAUGUGAUAAUCUGACCACAUAUCACGGCACUCUUUCC
ensembl:lncRNA